rnacentral:rRNA from 1 species
GGUUAAGCGACUAAGCGUACACGGUGGAUGCCCUGGCAGUCAGAGGCGAUGAAGGACGUGCUAAUCUGCGAUAAGCGUCGGUAAGGUGAUAUGAACCGUUAUAACCGGCGAUUUCCGAAUGGGGAAACCCAGUGUGUUUCGACACACUAUCAUUAACUGAAUCCAUAGGUUAAUGAGGCGAACCGGGGGAACUGAAACAUCUAAGUACCCCGAGGAAAAGAAAUCAACCGAGAUUCCCCCAGUAGCGGCGAGCGAACGGGGAGCAGCCCAGAGCCUGAAUCAGUGUGUGUGUUAGUGGAAGCGUCUGGAAAGGCGCGCGAUACAGGGUGACAGCCCCGUACACAAAAAUGCACAUAUUGUGAGCUCGAUGAGUAGGGCGGGACACGUGGUAUCCUGUCUGAAUAUGGGGGGACCAUCCUCCAAGGCUAAAUACUCCUGACUGACCGAUAGUGAACCAGUACCGUGAGGGAAAGGCGAAAAGAACCCCGGCGAGGGGAGUGAAAAAGAACCUGAAACCGUGUACGUACAAGCAGUGGGAGCACGCUUAGGCGUGUGACUGCGUACCUUUUGUAUAAUGGGUCAGCGACUUAUAUUCUGUAGCAAGGUUAACCGAAUAGGGGAGCCGAAGGGAAACCGAGUCUUAACUGGGCGUUAAGUUGCAGGGUAUAGACCCGAAACCCGGUGAUCUAGCCAUGGGCAGGUUGAAGGUUGGGUAACACUAACUGGAGGACCGAACCGACUAAUGUUGAAAAAUUAGCGGAUGACUUGUGGCUGGGGGUGAAAGGCCAAUCAAACCGGGAGAUAGCUGGUUCUCCCCGAAAGCUAUUUAGGUAGCGCCUCGUGAAUUCAUCUCCGGGGGUAGAGCACUGUUUCGGCAAGGGGGUCAUCCCGACUUACCAACCCGAUGCAAACUGCGAAUACCGGAGAAUGUUAUCACGGGAGACACACGGCGGGUGCUAACGUCCGUCGUGAAGAGGGAAACAACCCAGACCGCCAGCUAAGGUCCCAAAGUCAUGGUUAAGUGGGAAACGAUGUGGGAAGGCCCAGACAGCCAGGAUGUUGGCUUAGAAGCAGCCAUCAUUUAAAGAAAGCGUAAUAGCUCACUGGUCGAGUCGGCCUGCGCGGAAGAUGUAACGGGGCUAAACCAUGCACCGAAGCUGCGGCAGCGACACUAUGUGUUGUUGGGUAGGGGAGCGUUCUGUAAGCCUGUGAAGGUGUGCUGUGAGGCAUGCUGGAGGUAUCAGAAGUGCGAAUGCUGACAUAAGUAACGAUAAAGCGGGUGAAAAGCCCGCUCGCCGGAAGACCAAGGGUUCCUGUCCAACGUUAAUCGGGGCAGGGUGAGUCGACCCCUAAGGCGAGGCCGAAAGGCGUAGUCGAUGGGAAACAGGUUAAUAUUCCUGUACUUGGUGUUACUGCGAAGGGGGGACGGAGAAGGCUAUGUUGGCCGGGCGACGGUUGUCCCGGUUUAAGCGUGUAGGCUGGUUUUCCAGGCAAAUCCGGAAAAUCAAGGCUGAGGCGUGAUGACGAGGCACUACGGUGCUGAAGCAACAAAUGCCCUGCUUCCAGGAAAAGCCUCUAAGCAUCAGGUAACAUCAAAUCGUACCCCAAACCGACACAGGUGGUCAGGUAGAGAAUACCAAGGCGCUUGAGAGAACUCGGGUGAAGGAACUAGGCAAAAUGGUGCCGUAACUUCGGGAGAAGGCACGCUGAUAUGUAGGUGAAGUCCCUCGCGGAUGGAGCUGAAAUCAGUCGAAGAUACCAGCUGGCUGCAACUGUUUAUUAAAAACACAGCACUGUGCAAACACGAAAGUGGACGUAUACGGUGUGACGCCUGCCCGGUGCCGGAAGGUUAAUUGAUGGGGUUAGCCGCAAGGCGAAGCUCUUGAUCGAAGCCCCGGUAAACGGCGGCCGUAACUAUAACGGUCCUAAGGUAGCGAAAUUCCUUGUCGGGUAAGUUCCGACCUGCACGAAUGGCGUAAUGAUGGCCAGGCUGUCUCCACCCGAGACUCAGUGAAAUUGAACUCGCUGUGAAGAUGCAGUGUACCCGCGGCAAGACGGAAAGACCCCGUGAACCUUUACUAUAGCUUGACACUGAACAUUGAGCCUUGAUGUGUAGGAUAGGUGGGAGGCUUUGAAGUGUGGACGCCAGUCUGCAUGGAGCCGACCUUGAAAUACCACCCUUUAAUGUUUGAUGUUCUAACGUUGACCCGUAAUCCGGGUUGCGGACAGUGUCUGGUGGGUAGUUUGACUGGGGCGGUCUCCUCCUAAAGAGUAACGGAGGAGCACGAAGGUUGGCUAAUCCUGGUCGGACAUCAGGAGGUUAGUGCAAUGGCAUAAGCCAGCUUGACUGCGAGCGUGACGGCGCGAGCAGGUGCGAAAGCAGGUCAUAGUGAUCCGGUGGUUCUGAAUGGAAGGGCCAUCGCUCAACGGAUAAAAGGUACUCCGGGGAUAACAGGCUGAUACCGCCCAAGAGUUCAUAUCGACGGCGGUGUUUGGCACCUCGAUGUCGGCUCAUCACAUCCUGGGGCUGAAGUAGGUCCCAAGGGUAUGGCUGUUCGCCAUUUAAAGUGGUACGCGAGCUGGGUUUAGAACGUCGUGAGACAGUUCGGUCCCUAUCUGCCGUGGGCGCUGGAGAACUGAGGGGGGCUGCUCCUAGUACGAGAGGACCGGAGUGGACGCAUCACUGGUGUUCGGGUUGUCAUGCCAAUGGCACUGCCCGGUAGCUAAAUGCGGAAGAGAUAAGUGCUGAAAGCAUCUAAGCACGAAACUUGCCCCGAGAUGAGUUCUCCCUGACUCCUUGAGAGUCCUGAAGGAACGUUGAAGACGACGACGUUGAUAGGCCGGGUGUGUAAGCGCAGCGAUGCGUUGAGCUAACCGGUACUAAUGAACCGUGAGGCUUAACCUU